rnacentral:rRNA from 1 species
CGACCGGCGCACGGGUGAGUAACACGUGUCCAACCUGCCGAUGACUCGGGGAUAGCCUUUCGAAAGAAAGAUUAAUACCCGAUGGCAUAGUUCUUCCGCAUGGUAGAACUAUUAAAGAAUUUCGGUCAUCGAUGGGGAUGCGUUCCAUUAGCUUGUUGGCGGGGUAACGGCCCACCAAGGCAUCGAUGGAUAGGGGUUCUGAGAGGAAGGUCCCCCACAUUGGAACUGAGACACGGUCCAAACUCCUACGGGAGGCAGCAG